UACGGAGGGUGCAAGCGUUGUCCGGAAUCACUGGGCGUAAAGGGCGCGUAGGCGGUUUUGUAAGUCUGUCGUGAAAUCCCCGGGCUCAACCUGGGAAUGGCGAUGGAGACUGCAAGGCUAGAGUUUGGCAGAGGGGGGUAGAAUUCCACGUGUAGCAGUGAAAUGCGUAGAUAUGUGGAGGAACACCAGGUGGCGAAGCGGCCCUGGCCGCCUGGACGAGCUUGUCGA
rnacentral:rRNA from 1 species